rnacentral:lncRNA from 1 species
GAGAUCGCGACCGUGGAGCCGCAGCGGUGGCGCUAGAGACAGACACGCCUCCUGGCGCGGGUUCCUCGCCUCCCGCUUUAAAGGAGCCGUGCUUCUUUCAGGCAGCUGGUCCUAGCUCCAGGGCUCCCAGGCCCACCGCCGAGCCGCGCACACUCCUUAUUUCAAGAUCUCCUGUGAGAGAAUUCCGGGCGCUGACCAUCUAGUGCUUCCCAAACACCCCACCGUGAUUUCGUCCCCUGCCAGCAUACCCACAUCCAGGGAUAUAGGGCAGCCGGGGCCCAGAUGCUCUGAAUGAUAGUGGGUCCUCACCUCCAGUUAAAAUAUGCCUCAGUUCUACUUGAGACUAAAGUAGCUAUCUAAUGGAAUUCUUUCAUCUUCCAUGAAUGUUAUUUUCUGGACUGAGAAGAAAAGCUCAAGAUAUAUGGAGAGAACAUCUGGAAUAGGCAAACAUAAUAGUCUGGGGGAUUUUUAUAAAGCCGGACCCGACACAGAGCAAAAGAUCACCCAGUUUGUAAACUGCUUCCAUUCAUGGCAUUCCAUGUGGAAGGCAAGUUCUCUUCAUGAAACUCACAGUUGACCUACACAAAUAGUCUCUCUAUUCUCUGCUCCAAGACUAGAGUUACAGUCAAGACUCCAUGGCCACCCAGCAUUGUGUGUUGUGAG